UACGGGGGGAGCAAGCGUUGUUCGGAUUUACUGGGCGUAAAGGGCGCGUAGGCGGUCAGCACAAGUCAGUUGUGAAAUCUCCGGGCUUAACUCGGAAAGGUCAACUGAUACUGUGCGACUAGAGUGCAGAAGGGCAACUGGAAUUCUCGGUGUAGCGGUGAAAUGCGUAGAUAUCGAGAGGAACACCUGCGGCGAAGGCGGGUUGCUGGGCUGACACUGACGCUGAGGAGCGAAAGCGUGGGGAGCGAACAGG
rnacentral:rRNA from 1 species